GGACAAGAAGAAGAAAGACUCUGGAAAAUUGGCCAAGAAAGACAAAGACCCAGUAAACAAAUCCAGGGGCAAGUCCAGAAAGAAGAAGUGGUCCAGAGGCAAAGUUUGGGACAAACUCAAUAGCUUAGUCUUGUUUGACAAAGCUACCUAUAACAAACUCUGUAAGGAAGUUCCCAAAUACAAACUUAUAACCCCAGCUGUGGUCUCUGAAAGACUGAAGAUUCGAGGCUCCCUGGCCAGGGCAGCCCUUCAGGAGCUCCUUAGUAAAGGACUUAUCAAACUGGUUUCAAAGCACAGAGCUCAAGUAAUUUACACCAGAAAUACCAAGGGUGGAGAUGCUCCAGCUACUGGUGAAGAUGCAU
rnacentral:lncRNA from 1 species